GCGCUCACUUCGGCAGCACAUGUACUAAAAUUGGAACAAUACAGAGGCGAUUAGCAUGGUCCCUGUGCCAGGAUAACGAGAAAAUUCAUGAAGCAUUCCAUAUUAAG
rnacentral:snRNA from 1 species